UUAUUCCAAGUAUUCAUUCCCCUGGACACAUCAGCAGCACGGAUGACGGGAAACUGAUAUUUCUCACUGACCAGGCCCUGAAAAAAGUGGUGGCCAUUGAUGAUUGUGGUGCAAUCAAGUGGGAAGUUGAAACAGAUCAUGUACCACAUUAUGUGUCAGCCUGCGGUAGGAAAAGCGUGGUGGUAUCUUGUGAGAGGGAAUUGGAACUGAAACGUUUUUCACUGUCUGGUAAACCCCUUUCGCCGGUUGGAACCAGACUUGGACCGAUCUCUGCGCCGUUCCUUGUCAGUUUUUUUCCUGAGAAUGACACACUGUUCUUCUGCUCAGAAGUACACCAUCAUUACGACAGAGAAUUCGUGUAUUCAGUACAACCAAAGAAAUCAAAAUUACAAAAAUUUAAGAAAAUGUUCAAAAAGUGAUGUUUCUUCAGAACCCAAUUGCAUUUGCAUUUUCUUUUUUUAUUUCGAUGAUGGUACGGUGAUCUGCAUUUUUUUUUUAUUAAAAAUCGCAUUUGAAACGCCUCUAUGAAUCGUGCCUUAAUUGCCGAAAACAAGGUUAGACAUGGUGUAUGAAUACUUCGAUUUAAACUUAUGACGUUUGUUUGUUUUUUGUUUUUGUAACCAGACUAGCAUAAAGAUACAUUAAGUAUCAGUUGAUGGUAAGCGUUCUGAUUUUUAUCAUUUUCUUUAAGAGAUACCACCCUUUUUCAUUGAGUCGGUGUUUAUGCAACCGCCAUUACAUGAUUGGAAUUUCCAGUCAGAUUCCUGUUGAGGAAUAAUGAUUUAUCUGUUCACCACAGAUCCAGUUCAAUCCUCAGUUGAUAUUUAAGAAGCUUUAAAAAAUGAAAACAAAAUGCAUUAGCAUGAAUCAAAUAUCAAGAUAAAUAUAACAUCGCUGAGUCAAAUCUUUAUCACACAUUCGUAAGAUUUUUGAAGAAUUCUUCAUAUCAAAUGUCGGCUUAAUUCUCAACCACCUAAUGUCUUAUCAAUUUAAUGUGUUUGAAUAUAAAAACUGAAUACACAUAUGACUUUUUAGAUGGUUAUUUAAGACCUCUUUUCCUCUCCCUUAAAUAAAACAUCCGUCCGAUAAUUAAAAAAGUUGUUCCGAAUGAUUCGCAAGUCAAAUUAAAUAUUCAAAUGAUGAUAUCUAGAAAACAAAAUCUAUAUAUAGGAAAAUAUGUACAAUAACAACGUUUCUAAACAAUUUUCCCAUGGUUUUGUGUUUUAUAUAUAAUUCGAUCAACAUGUGAAAGUUAAAAUGAAGUGAUUGUAUAUCUAUUCUUGCUUACAAAUCUAUUAAAGCUGAAUACAUGU
rnacentral:misc_RNA from 1 species